CAGUGUCAGGUAGGUAGUUUGACUGGGGCGGUCGCCUCCCAAAAAGUAACGGAGGCGCCCAAAGGUUCCCUCAGAAUGGUUGGAAAUCAUUCGCAGAGUGUAAAGGCACAAGGGAGCCUGACUGCGAGACAGACAGGUCGAGCAGGGACGAAAGUCGGGCUUAGUGAUCCGGCGGUACCGUAUGGAAGGGCCGUCGCUCAACGGAUAAAAGCUACCCUGGGGAUAACAGGCUUAU
rnacentral:ncRNA from 1 species